rnacentral:rRNA from 1 species
UAGGUUGAGCCUACGUCGGAUUAGCUAGUUGGUGGGGUAAAGGCCUACCAAAGCGACGAUCCGUAGCUGGUCUGAGAGGAUGACCAGCCACACUGGGACUGAGACACGGCCCAGACUCCUACGGGAGGCAGCAGUGGGGAAUCUUGGACAAUGGGGGAAACCCUGAUCCAGCGAUACCGCGUGUGUGAAGAAGGCCUUCGGGUUGUAAAGCACUUUA